ACUCCUACGGGAGGCAGCAGUAGGGAAUCUUCCACAAUGGGCGCAAGCCUGAUGGAGCAACACCGCGUGAGUGAAGAAGGGUUUCGGCUCGUAAAGCUCUGUUGUUAAAGAAGAACACGUAUGAGAGUAACUGUUCAUACGUUGACGGUAUUUAACCAGAAAGUCACGGCUAACUACGUGCCAGCAGCCGCGGUAAUACGUAGGUGGCAAGCGUUAUCCGGAUUUAUUGGGCGUAAAGAGAGUGCAGGCGGUUUUCUAAGUCUGAUGUGAAAGCCUUCGGCUUAACCGGAGAAGUGCAUCGGAAACUGGAUAACUUGAGUGCAGAAGAGGUAGUGGAACUCCAUGUGUAGCGGUGGAAUGCGUAGAUAUAUGGAAGAACACCAGUGGCGAAGGCGGCUACCUGGUCUGCAACUGACGCUGAGACUCGAAAGCAUGGGUAGCGCACAGGAUUAGAUACCCCUGGUAGGAUAGCG
rnacentral:rRNA from 1 species